ACCGGAAGCCGGGUUACGGU
rnacentral:snRNA from 1 species